UGAGGAAUAUUGGUCAAUGGGCGCGAGCCUGAACCAGCCAAGUAGCGUGAAGGAUGAAGGCUCUAUGGGUCGUAAACUUCUUUUAUAUGGGAAUAAAGUGCAGUAUGUAUACUGUUUUGUAUGUACCAUAUGAAUAAGGAUCGGCUAACUCCGUGCCAGCAGCCGCGGUAAUACGGAGGAUCCAAGCGUUAUCCGGAUUUAUUGGGUUUAAAGGGAGCGUAGGCGGAUUGUUAAGUCAGUUGUGAAAGUUUGCGGCUCAACCGUAAAAUUGCAGUUGAUACUGGCAGUCUUGAGUACAGUAGAGGUAAGCGGAAUUCGUGGUGUAGCGGUGAAAUGCUUAGAUAUCACGAAGAACUCCAAUUGCGAAGGCAGCUUGCUGGACUGUCACUGACGCUGAUGCUCGAAAGUGUGGGUAUCAAACA
rnacentral:rRNA from 1 species